rnacentral:rRNA from 1 species
GGCGGCUCCGCAUGGAGACAGUUGUUAAAGUACAAGCGCCUGAAGAUGAGCCUGCGGUCCAUUAGCUAGUUGGUAGAGUAACAGCCUACCAAGGCAACGAUGGAUAGCUGGUCUGAGAGGAUGAUCAGCCACACUGGAACUGAGACACGGUCCAGACUCCUACGGGAGGCAGCAGUAAGGAAUAUUGCUCAAUGGCCGAAAGGCUGAAGCAGCAACGCCGCGUGAAGGAUGAAUGGCCUUUGGCCUGUAAACUUCUGUAAAAGGGAAAAACAGUCAGGUAUAUCCUGAUUUGAUUGUACCUUUGAAGUAAGCCCCGGCUAACUACGUG